CGAAGGGUGCAAGCGUUACUCGGAAUUACUGGGCGUAAAGCGUGCGUAGGCGGUUUGUUAAGUCUGUCGUGAAAGCCCCGGGCUCAACCUGGGAAUGGCGAUGGAUACUGGCGAGCUAGAGUACGGUAGAGGGGGAUGGAAUUCCGCGUGUAGCAGUGAAAUGCGUAGAUAUGCGGAGGAACACCGAUGGCGAAGGCAAUCCCCUGGACCUGUACUGACGCUCAUGCACGAAAGCGUGGGGAGCAAACAGGAUUAGAUACCCUGGUAGUCCACGCCCUAAACGAUGUCAACUGGUUGUUGGGUCUUCACUGACUCAGUAACGAAGCUAACGCGUGAAGUUGACCGCCUGGGGAGUACGGCCGCAAGGUUG
rnacentral:rRNA from 1 species